rnacentral:rRNA from 2 species
GGNGGCGUGCCUAAUACAUGCAAGUCGAACGAACUCUGGUAUUGAUUGGUGCUUGCAUCAUGAUUUACAUUUGAGUGAGUGGCGAACUGGUGAGUAACACGUGGGAAACCUGCCCAGAAGCGGGGGAUAACACCUGGAAACAGAUGCUAAUACCGCAUAACAACUUGGACCGCAUGGUCCGAGCUUGAAAGAUGGCUUCGGCUAUCACUUUUGGAUGGUCCCGCGGCGUAUUAGCUAGAUGGUGGGGUAACGGCUCACCAUGGCAAUGAUACGUAGCCGACCUGAGAGGGUAAUCGGCCACAUUGGGACUGAGACACGGCCCAAACUCCUACGGGAGGCAGCAGUAGGGAAUCUUCCACAAUGGACGAAAGUCUGAUGGAGCAACGCCGCGUGAGUGAAGAAGGGUUUCGGCUCGUAAAACUCUGUUGUUAAAGAAGAACAUNUCUGAGAGUAACUGUUCAGGUAU